rnacentral:rRNA from 1 species
CCCUUAGAUGUUCUGGGCCGCACGCGCGCUACACUGAUGCAUUCAACGAGCCUAUCCUUGACCGACAGGUCCGGGUAAUCUUUGAAUCUGCAUCGUGACGGGGAUAGAUUAUUGCAAUUGUUAAUCUUCAACGAGGAAUGCCUAGUAGGCGCAAGUCAUCAGCUUGCGUCGAUUACGUCCCUGCCCUUUGUACACACCGCCCGUCGCUCCUACCGAUUGGGUGUGCUGGUGAAAUGUUCGGAUCGGCCGUUUGUCGCGGUUUCCGCGUCAUGUGGCUGAGAAGUUCAUUAAACCCGCCCACCUAGAGGAAGGAGAAGUCGUAACA